rnacentral:rRNA from 1 species
AUUGAACGCUGGCGGCAGGCUUAACACAUGCAAGUCGAGCGGGGACUUCGGUCCUAGCGGCGAACGGGUGAGGAAUGCUUGGGAAUCUGCCUUGUAGUGGGGGAUAACGUUUCGAAAGGAACGCUAAUACCGCAUACGUCCUACGGGAGAAAGGGGGGGAUCUUCGGACCUCUCGCUAUAAGAUGAGCCCAAGUCGGAUUAGCUAGUUGGUGGGGUAAAGGCUCACCAAGGCGACGAUCCGUAGCUGGUCUGAGAGGAUGAUCAGCCACACUGGAACUGAGACACGGUCCAGACUCCAACGGGAGGCAGCAGUGGGGAAUAUUGGAAAAUGGGCGAAAGCCUGAUCCAGCCAUGCCGCGUGUGUGAAAAAGGCCUUCGUGUUGUAAAGCACUUUAAGCGAGGAGGAAUGGCUCUGGGUUGAUACCCUUGAGCAGUGACGUUACUCGCAGAAUAAGCACCGGCUAACUCUGUGCCAGCCGCCGCAGUAACAC